GAUGAACGCUGGCGGCGUGCCUAAUACAUGCAAGUAGAACGCUGAAGGAGGAGCUUGCUCUUCUGGAUGAGUUGCGAACGGGUGAGUAACGCGUAGGUAACCUGCCUGGUAGCGGGGGAUAACUAUUGGAAACGAUAGCUAAUACCGCAUGACAACAGUUAUUGCAUGAUAACUGUUUAAAAGGGGCAACUGCUCCACUACCAGAUGGACCUGCGUUGUAUUAGCUAGUUGGUGAGGUAACGGCUCACCAAGGCGACGAUACAUAGCCGACCUGAGAGGGUGAUCGGCCACACUGGGACUGAGACACGGCCCAGACUCCUACGGGAGGCAGCAGUAGGGAAUCUUCGGCAAUGGACGGAAGUGUGACCGAGCAACGCCGCGUGAGUGAAGAAGGGUUUCGGAUCGUAAAGCUCUGUUGUAAGAGAAGAACGAGUGUGAGAGUGGAAAGUUCACACUGUGACGGUAUCUUACCAGAAAGGGACGGCUAACUACGUG
rnacentral:rRNA from 1 species